rnacentral:rRNA from 1 species
UACAGAGGGUGCAAGCGUUAAUCGGAAUUACUGGGCGUAAAGCGUGCGCAGACGGUUGCGUAAGUCAGAUGUGAAAGCCCCGGGCUCAACCUGGAAAUUGCAUUUGAGACUGCGUAGCUAGGGUGCGGAAGAGGGAAGCGGAAUUUCCGGUGUAGCGGUGAAAUGCGUAGAUAUCGGAAGGAACACCAGUGGCGAAAGCGGCUUCCUGGUCCAGCACCGACGUCAGGCACGAAAGCGUGGGGAGCAAACAGG